CCUACGGGAGGCAGCAGUGAGGAAUAUUGGUCAAUGGACGAGAGUCUGAACCAGCCAAGUAGCGUGAAGGAUGACUGCCCUAUGGGUUGUACACUUCUUUUCUAAAGGAAUAAAACGCGGCACGUGUGCCUUUUUGCAUGUACUUUAUGAAUAAGGAUCGGCUAACUCCGUGCCAGCAGCCGCGGUAAUACGGCGGAUCCGAGCGUUAUCCGGAUUUAUUGGGUUUAAAGGGAGCGUAGAUGGGUUGUUAAGUCAGUUGUGAAAGUUUGCGGCUCAACCGUAAAAUUGCAAUUGAUACUGGCAGUCUUGAGUACAGUUGAGGUAGGCGGAAUUCGUGGUGUAGCGGUGAAAUGCUUAGAUAUCACGAAGAACCCCGAUUGCGAAGGCAGCUUACUAAACUGUGACUGACAUUGAUGCUCGAAAGUGUGGGUAUCAAACAGGAUUAGAUACCCUAGUAGUC
rnacentral:rRNA from 1 species